rnacentral:rRNA from 1 species
UACGUAGGUGGCAAGCGUUAUCCGGAAUCAUUGGGCGUAAAGGGUGCGUAGGCGGCUUCUUAAGUUUGUAGUGAAAUCGUAGAGCUUAACUCUAUUAAGCUACAAAAACUGGGAGGCUAGAGUGCGGUAGAGGCAAGUGGAAUUCCAUGUGUAGCGGUAAAAUGUGUAGAUAUAUGGAGGAACACCGGUGGCGAAGGCGGCUUGCUGGGCCGUAACUGACGCUGAGGCACGAAAGCGUGGGGAGC